UACGGGUGGAUAGUGGCGACGGGUGAGUAACACGUGGGCAAUCUGCCCUUCACUUCGGGACAAGCCCUGGAAACGGGGUCUAAUACCGGAUAACACUCUGUCCUGCAUGGGACGGGGUUAAAAGCUCCGGCGGUGAAGGAUGAGCCCGCGGCCUAUCAGCUUGUUGGUGGGGUAAUGGCCUACCAAGGCGACGACGGGUAGCCGGCCUGAGAGGGCGACCGGCCACACUGGGACUGAGACACGGCCCAGACUCCUACGGGAGGCAGCAGUGGGGAAUAUUGCACAAUGGGCGAAAGCCUGAUGCAGCGACGCCGCGUGAGGGAUGACGGCCUUCGGGUUGUAAACCUCUUUCAGCAGGGAAGAAGCGCAAGUGACGGUACCUGCAGAAGAAGCACCGGCUAACUACGUGCCAGCAGCCGCGGUAAUACGUAGGGUGCGAGCGUUGUCCGGAAUUAUUGGGCGUAAAGAGCUCGUAGGCGGCUUGUCACGUCGGAUGUGAAAGCCCGGGGCUUAACCCCGGGUCUGCAUUCGAUACGGGCUAGCUAGAGUGUGGUAGGGGAGAUCGGAAUUCCUGGUGUAGCGGUGAAAUGCGCAGAUAUCAGGAGGAACACCGGUGGCGAAGGCGGAUCUCUGGGCCAUUACUGACGCUGAGGAGCGAAAGCGUGGGGAGCGAACAGGAUUAGAUACCCUGGUAGUCCACGCCGUAAACGUUGGGAACUAGGUGUUGGCGACAUUCCACGUCGUCGGUGCCGCAGCUAACGCAUUAAGUUCCCCGCCUGGGGAGUACGGCCGCAAGGCUAAAACUCAAAGGAAUUUGACGGGGGCCCG
rnacentral:rRNA from 1 species